ACGCAGGGAAAGGGUUUCUUGGAGUGCUUACGUGUAAGCACUGAGUCACCUCUGGCAUUAUUUGUUUUAGAACACUUUGAGGCAAGUUACAGAGUUAUUUUGAAAGUAGACAGGCUUAAGACUAAAAUAGAUCUCCUUUCAGCACAAAACCCGCUGCAGUUUUGCUUGCAGACCCGCGCAGACCUUCCUGAAGUGGCAUUUACGCAGCUGGAUCCUGACUCGCGUACCAGAUGGUUUCUGGCCACGGUCCAGCCGYGGCAGCACAUACGCCCUUGACAAGCAGAAAGUCCUACCUGGCAGCAUGUGCCCCAUUCCUAGAACAGCUCAUCCCAUCCCAGUCAUCGAGUCACUUAGAAAAAUAUGCGUCUCUGAAAAUAAGUGCUUCAGUUGACACCUUUUAG
rnacentral:lncRNA from 1 species